rnacentral:rRNA from 1 species
UUGAAUUUCGGGGUUAGUAAGUUGGUCGUGCCUCCGGUAUGUACUGGCUUUACUGAUUCCUCCUUCUUGAUGAACUGUAAUGUCAUUAAUUUGGUGNUGCUAGGGGAUUCAGGACUGUUACUUUGAAAAAUUAGAGUGUUUAAAGCAGGCAUACGCUUGAAUACAUUAGCAUGGAAUAAUGAAAUAGGACGUUUGAUCCUAUUUUGUUGGUUUCUAGGAUUGACGUAAUGAUUAAUAGGGAUAGUUGGGGGCAUUAGUAUUCAAUUGUCAGAGGUGAAAUUCUUGUAUUUAUUGAAGACUAACUACUGCGAAAGCAUUUGCCAAGGAUGUUUUCAUUAAUCAAGAACGAAAGUUAGGGGAUCGAAGACGAUCAGAUACCGUCGUAGUCUUAACCAUAAACUAUGCCGACUAGGGAUCGGAUGAUGUUAUUUUAAUGACAC